GGGGAUAUAGUUCAAUGGCAAAGUGCCUGCCUGGCAAGCAGGAGGUCAUGAGUUUGAGUCCUGGUUCCCCCCA
rnacentral:tRNA from 1 species